CGGGUGUAGGUCUGCAGGAUUGAAAGAAAUCGUGUACAUGGGUCCUCCUUUUUCAAUGUAAACGAACGUGCUGAUGGGAAUCAAGCCUGUUUUCUUCCCCUUCAGCACUAAGAGGCAGAAGCAGGAGGAACAGACAGCUUGAGUUUUAUGGUAAGUUCAGGGACAGCCUGGUUCCACAGCAGGACUUGUGUCUCAGGGAAACCAAGGACUAUAAAGAAGGAGGUGGACUCGAAUAGGGCAUGCUGAUCUCUGGGCUGUGUCUUCAACUUCAAAGUAUGUAAAUAAAUAACUAAUCCCUCAAAUGCAUUUAAAAUACUUAUUCUCAGCCUAGGUUAUUUUCCUAGUAAUGAAGUAACUGAGCUGUACAGGGUCCAUACGAAUAUGAAACUAGAGAGUGUAUACAAAAGAAAUUUGUAAAUUUAAAAAUCGCUGCUCAAAGUGAGCUACUGUUGUCCUAUUGCCAUCUCUGGGCCCUUUUUUCUACUGUCCCAAACAAUGAUUUACGAUUCCCUACCAUUCUGUACCAGGCACUUAAGGACUGUGUACUGAGCUAAACACAUGUAGCUAAAAUUCCUUCCCUUAAGUAGUGGUAAACAAGGUCUAUCCCCCACUCCCAAAGUCACAGUGACAAACUGAGGUAUGAGGCCAGAGUUCACUGUGGGGCCUCAGGGAGUUUACUGCACUUCCUUAUGAGAGUAGAAAAGAGGUUACUAACUGGUGGUCUAUGAGCUCUUUCCCAGCAGGCUACAGUUGGAGACCUUUGACCCAGCUGACUGAAUGCUUCCCUGAAAAAGCUGUAGCAGUGUAGAUGGAGCCUUACCCCCUGUAGGGUAACAGGAGGGCAGCUUGAAACAUUGUAUCCUUCGGGAAAGCUCCUUCAGCAAGUUAAAACAACUUCAGGAUAUCCUUGAAACUGAUUCACUAAGCCCCUCCUAACCGUCAGGAAC
rnacentral:lncRNA from 1 species